rnacentral:rRNA from 1 species
GUAACACGUGGACCAAUCUGCCCCCCGGCCCGGGAUAGCCCAGGGAAACCUGGAUUAAUACCGGAUGAGACGGGACCCGCGAUGGCGGGAUCCGGGAAAGGCGCUACGGCGCCGCCGGGGGAUGAGUCUGCGUCCCAUUAGCUAGACGCGGGGUAACGGCCCACCGUGGCGACGAUGGGUAGCCGGCCUGAGAGGGUGGACGGCCACAUUGGAACUGAGACACGGUCCAGACUCCUACGGGAGGCAGCAGGCUAAGAAUCUUCCGCAAUGGGCGAAAGCCUGACGGAGGACCGACGCCGCGUGAACGAAGAAGGCCGUGAGGUUGUAAAGUUCUUUUCGGGAGGGGGAACAACCGUGGCAGGGAAUGGCCGCGGGAUGACGUGAAUCCCGGAAUAAGCCCCGGCUAACUACGUGCCAGCCGCCGC